GGAAAAACCCCAGACCCAGAGGCUGGGAAUGAUGCUUCAUACACAGAGGAGACCCUCAUCUCAUAUAGGGUUGGUGGUUGAAUGAGUGGGUCAGAGUCUUAGAGAUUACCUCGUUAACCUCUUGCAUUCCCUCCUAUCAGUCCCCAAUAGAAGCACCCCCAGUUGCUGCUCCACCUUCAUGGACGGUGUGUUCCUGACAUGUUACCAUCUUCAGCUUAGCAUCCACUCUAUUACUCUGAAAAUGAUUACACAUCCCAUCCAAGGGCGUGGAGUAGCAGGUUCAUGUGCUCAAAAAUUGAAGCAGAGUUCUGAUGCAAUGAGAACAUCGCCAAGACUAUUCUAACAACAAAGAAGAGGACACCCAGCAAUGCCUGGACACAGUAUGAGGACUCAUCCUAAAUGCAUUGAUUUGUAAGGAGGGUGGGCCAGGAGCAGAGGGAUUCAUGCUCAUUUGAGAAUCUACGCUGGAACAAAGGUAAAAGAAAGUCAAACAGAGAAAUAACAAGAUGUCGAAAUUGCUUAGAGCUGUAUUCUGAAAAUAUGCAACUAAAAAACACACCAAUAAUUUAUAUAAGGCAUUCAAAGGAUGUGCAGAUCCUGACCAUAGAUUAGAAAACCUAUGAAAAAUUAGUGCCUUUAUCGUAAAGAAGUAGACUAAGAUGGUAGGAAACGU
rnacentral:lncRNA from 1 species